CAAACACCAUUAGAUUAGAUAGGGAGAGGGUCCUCCUCUUCACCGGCCAUGGCCAUGACUUGUGGCUGUGCCCUUUGCACAUGCAAGAAGAUGCAGAGCCUGCCAUGGCUCUCUGCUCCGCCCCUUUGGUAAGGUAAGGUCUCUUCUUUUUCUUGUUGUUUAGCCACAAGUUUCCUGAUGCAAUUUCAAGUUCAAGUUGAAGAUCCGCGACCUCUCGCACAAGGACAAGGGCGACCCGAUGAAGAGAAUGCUUCUUGGGCCAAUAUUAGGACGGCCCGUUUGCUCGGAGGGCUCACAAGCGCAACACCACUCCCAACCCUGCCGGCCCAUUAUGUUUCCCAGGCCAGUGGAGUCGCGACGGCCAGCCCAGCCCAUUAUGCCUCCCAGGCCAGUGGAGUCGCGACGGCCGACCCAUUAUGCCUCUCAGGCCAGUGGAGUCGCGAUGAUCGGCCCAUUAUGCCUCCCGCGCUAGUGGAGUCAAGACGGUCGGCCCAUUAUGCCUCCCAGGCCAGUGGAGUCGCGACGGCCGGCCCAUUAUUCCUCCCAGGCCAGUGGAGUCACGAUUGCCAGUGGACAGCGCCCGAUCUCAGCGUAACCUAGAUGGAUAAAAACCGCCUGAUCGGCGAUCCCACUCAGCCGCCGUCUCUCCAUUUCCUCACUUUCCCCUCCGUCUCCGGCGACCGCUGUCGACCUGCUGACGAAAUGCAAACUUUCUCCUGCAAUCUCUUCCCCCUGUGUUUUCUUGAACGAUGUGGCUCGUGCCUGCACUUCUCUAACCCCUGCCUGUGUUCUCUGCAGGGACGGAGGGCAAUCGAGGGGAUCACUCUACCGCCGCCCUCCCAACUGGCACAAGCCCAAGGGCAUCUACAGUCCGCAUGUUCGUCGUCCAAAGGAAAUUGAUGGUGGCCUGUUUUAGAAAUGCAGGUGCUCUCUUUGUAGUGGUUUGUUUUCUAUACUUGCAUUGAGCUCUUCUAGGUUAAAACUGAUUCUAUUAACAUUCUCUGUAGUGAUCAGAAGGGGAAUCCAAGGAUUGUUUAUCCCACUUGUGUUUUGUGGGUCACCAAUUGUGUUUUCCUUUGUUUAUUGCCUGCCUCUGUGCUGACUAUCUAUGACAAUGAUUGACUUGUUACUA